CUACGGGGGGCUCCAGUGAGGAAUUUUGCGCAAUGGGGGAAACCCUGACGCAGCAACGCCGCGUGAGUGAAGAAGGCCCUUGGGUCGUAAAGCUCUGUCAAUGGGGAAGAAGUUAUUAUGUGUUAAUAGCACAUUUUAUUGACGGUACCCAUGAAGGAAGCACCGGCUAACUCCGUGCCAGCAGCCGCGGUAAUACGGGGGGUGUAAGCGUUAUUCGGAAUUAUUGGGCGUAAAGGGCACGCAGGCGGUCCUGUCAGUCAGAUGUGAAAGCCCGGGGCUCAACCCCGGACGUGCAUUUGAAACAGCAGGACUUGAGUACGGGAGAGGAAAGGGGAAUUCCUGGUGUAGAGGUGAAAUUCGUAGAUAUCAGGAGGAACACCGGUGGCGAAGGCGCCUUUCUGGACCGAUACUGACGCUGAGGUGCGAAGGCGUGGGUAGCGAACGGGAUUAGAUACCCGAGUAGUC
rnacentral:rRNA from 1 species